rnacentral:lncRNA from 1 species
UUUUUGGCAUUUAUUUUUUAAUCUCCCUGGACUAUGCACAUGCAAUGGGACCAUGCACACACAAGUUACAAAAACAACAAGUUGCAAAAACAACUUACUGAGCACUAUGUUUUAGAGUCUAUGCCCUUUCUCCAGCACUCCAUGAGGAGGGGAUCAUUACAUUUUACAGGUGUAGAAACUGAACUGGUAAAGUAAACUGAACUGAAGAGGUAAAGUACAUUGUCCAAAGUCACGUGUGUGUGUGUCCGCUCCGUCAUGUCCAACUUUGUGACCCCACGGACUAUAACCCACCAGGCUCCUCUGUCCAUCGGAUUAUCCCAGCAUGAAUACUAAAGUGAUUUGCUAUUUCCUCUUUAAGGAUAUCUUCCUAACUGAGCGGUUGAACCCAUGUCUCCUGCAUUUUCAGGUGGAUUCUUUACCACUGAGCCACCUGGGAAAGCCCCCAAAGUCACUUAAUUCUCAGCGGAUAAGUGGCAGAGUUAUCAUUCAAACCAGAUGCCUUUAGUCAAAACUCCCAUGAGUACUUCUUUCUGUUCCAUGGUUUGCUUGAAGCAAAAUGAGUCUCAGAAAUUUCCAGCCAGCAGAGAAAAAAGGGAAAGGCACAGAAAAAUACAGAUGGUGACAAUAUCUGCUCCUCUUGGAACAAGUUUCUCAGGGGAACGUACCUCUUAGACCUCACAGGCGGCAGAGAAUCAAACGCUGGGAGAAAGGGACAGAGGCACCAGGGGAAAACCCUUCGUUUUCCGUUGUAGAAACCAAGAGUAUAUUUGGAGCAUAUAUGGAGUAUAUGGACUGUGGGGUGUAUUGGAGUAUAUGGAGAGUAUAUUUGACCAAGAUAAUUUAGUUUCUUGUGUGAUGCUGAUACUAAAAUCCGGGGUCAGUGUUCCUUCCAAAAGCUCAUUGCCUACCAGGCCCUUGUUAUGAAGUCAUUCAAAAUAAUGCCAAAGAGGAUGACACCACCAUUUGCAUUCUGUGACUUGUUCCUUUACAGAGUAGCGUUUCAGGAAUCCUCAUUUUACUUUGACAUUUCAGGUCCA